GAUGAACGCUGGCGGCGUGCUUAACACAUGCAAGUCGAACGAAGCAUUUAAGACAGAUUACUUCGGUUUGAAGUCUUUUAUGACUGAGUGGCGGACGGGUGAGUAACGCGUGGGUAACCUGCCUCAUACAGGGGGAUAGCAGCUGGAGACGGCUGGUAAUACCGCAUAAGCGCACAGUACCACAUGGUACAGUGUGAAAAACUCCGGUGGUAUGAGAUGGACCCGCGUCUGAUUAGCUUGUUGGCGGGGUAACGGCCCACCAAGGCGACGAUCAGUAGCCGACCUGAGAGGGUGACCGGCCACAUUGGGACUGAGACACGGCCCAGACUCCUACGGGAGGCAGCAGUGGGGAAUAUUGCACAAUGGAGGAAACUCUGAUGCAGCGACGCCGCGUGAGUGAAGAAGUAGUUCGCUAUGUAAAGCUCUAUCAGCAGGGAAGAUAGUGGCGGUACCUGACUAAGAAGCUCCGGCUAAAUACGUG
rnacentral:rRNA from 1 species